UUCCAAAUCCAAACAUUUCUCAAAACGUUGUAACCCCUCUCCGUAAAACCUGUAUACUUUCCCAGAAAUGUAAAAUAUAAAUAUACAUAUAUAUUCUCAAAACUUCAUUUUUACUAUCUCAACAUUAUCUCUUUAUCAAUCAUGCCAUGCCAUGUCUAAUUCAACAGUUAAGUAUGGAUGCAUCAACAAUAAUCAUAUCAGGUGCAAGAAAGUAAUCAACCGUAGGCCCUCUAAUAGCCCUGUACGGUUGAACCUAGAGCUCAAAAUCUCAUCUAACCGGAGUCACCAACUGUGACCUGUUCGGCCAUGCCGGAGUCACCUAGUAUGACCUGUACGGCACUACACUGCACAUAAGUCGGAAUUACCUAAUAUAAUCUGUACGACUUAAUGGUAGAAUAAUAUGCUCUAGUGCUUCUCUCAUCAAUCAUCUGUGCACAUAAUCUAAGGUCACCUACCAGUCGGAACCCCUCUAAUGGUCUGUACGACUGGCAUGUCGGAACCACCCCCUGUGGUCUGUACGACUAGCAUCUACUUGGAUCCAAGGUGAGCAUGCGAUGCGGUGAAUAAUAAUAAGCACUAAUACCAAGGUGCAGGUUAUGAGCUCAAUAUAUCUCAACAUCAUCAUAACAAUAAUAAAUACUCACCUGAUACUCACCUGUGCGUCCACCGCACCAAUUCAUACAAAUGCAUCAUAUAUCAAUUCAUACUUUUAUAUACUUAUAUACAUGGCAUCUCAAAUCAUAUCUUUCAUAUAAAUCUACUCAUGGCAUUUGAAAACAUACUUUUAUACUUUGCAUUUAAAGCAUACUUUCGUAACAUUUUCAAUUUCUGGGAAACGUCAAUUAUAUAUGUAUACGGAAAACAAAACUGCCCACUCACCUGGAGUUCGUCCAACAACUCCUUAGCACCACACAUCAAGGCGUCAUGACGAUCGCCGCCUAGAACAGUAAUCAAAUCCAACCUCAGAAUUCAUAUCGAUAGAAUAUAUAACUUAUAUAAAAUACGUCACUAUGUAGAUCGAUCCGGAAGAUCUGCCACUCAGAUUUUAAAUCCAUAACUUCCAGAGGUCCACAAUAUAUCUCUAGGACAACAUCCUAAAAUUUCAUUACCAUCCAACGGUCGGAUCUCCGUCAAUUUCCAAAACUAAGUGAUGGUUAACAUUUUAUAUUAUGGACUUACAACUCCAAUUCCGGAAGAUCCGUAAAUCGGAUUCCCAAUCCGUAAGUUCCAAUAAUCCUCAAAUAUUACGUAUUACUACGUAUCAAAAUUUAGUGACGAUCUAACGGUCGGAUCGUCAAUUCACAUUUUCACCUAAAUGUGAAAACUAUAAAACGUUAUUCGAACACCUAACCAACAAUCUUUAAUAACUUUCUCAUACGGUACUCAAUUUGGGUAUAUGAAUAUACCACGGUGAUCUACUCGACGUCACGGACGUCGACAUAUUUUUAAAAUAAUUUGUUACUGUAGAACGCGCCCCCACGCGCCAAGGAAGGCACGGACCUACGCGCCCCCACGCGCACC
rnacentral:lncRNA from 1 species